AUCUUCUUUCUUCUUCUCUGCUGUUCUGCUGGUUAUGAAGAGAGUGAGAGGGAGAAGGUGUGGUAUAUAUAUUAUAUGGGAAGAAGGUGGGGGGUGGAGGAGGAGGUAGUUGCUUGGAAAGCGAGAAGGGUUCAGUGCUGCGGUGUGUGUGUGUGCAGUGUGAUAAAAGUUCAAAGAUUCAACGCGUCAGGAGUUUGACUGACUUGGUCCAAAUGAGACCGCUUUCAUUAUUAUUUUUUUAUUCAUCUUUAAUAAAUUCCAAGUGGGUUCACUUGGAGAGUUCGGAUUUUGGACCAUUUUCAAUGUACCAGGUGGGUAUUUUAGAUUGAGAAAACUACGUCGGCAGUGUUGUCGUGGGAGCAGAGAGAGAGAGACAGCAACAGAGAGGAUACGUAGAUCGCGAUGAAGCAGCCAGCUGCGUUCACUUUCUUCUUCCUGGUGGUGUCUUCCAUGGCUUUUGAUGCUUGCCUGGGUUUCUCGGACAUUUUCUUGCAGGUGGCUAGUUACUGGUUUCAACAUCACCUCUUUGUUUUAUAAUAACACUCCACUUGGCUUUGACAUGGAACUUGCACCAAAUUUACUAGGCUAUUAAUAAUUAAAAUA